rnacentral:rRNA from 1 species
GACGAACGCUGGCGGCGUGCUUAACACAUGCAAGUCGAACGGAAAGGCCCUGCUUUUGUGGGGUGCUCGAGUGGCGAACGGGUGAGUAACACGUGAGUAACCUGCCCUUGACUUUGGGAUAACUUCAGGAAACUGGGGCUAAUACCGGAUAGGAGCUCCUGCUGCAUGGUGGGGGUUGGAAAGUUUCGGCGGUUGGGGAUGGACUCGCGGCUUAUCAGCUUGUUGGUGGGGUAGUGGCUUACCAAGGCUUUGACGGGUAGCCGGCCUGAGAGGGUGACCGGCCACAUUGGGACUGAGAUACGGCCCAGACUCCUACGGAAGGCAGCAGUGGGGAAUAUUGCACAAUGGGCGGAAGCCUGAUGCAGCAACGCCGCGUGCGGGAUGACGGCCUUCGGGCUGUAAACCGCUUUCGCCUGUGACGAAGCGUGAGUGACGGUAAUGGGUAAAGAAGCACCGGCUAACUACGUG